rnacentral:rRNA from 1 species
GUUGACCUCGAAUCAGGUAGGAAUACCCGCUGA